UUUCCGUAGGUGAACCUGCGGAAGGAUCAUUACCGUGUGAAUGGGCAGAGGGGAAACUCUCUGCUUCCACACCCUUUGUGUACUCUCUGGUUGCUUCGGUAGGGCGUCAGUUCACCUGCCAUCGCUUUUGAAGUGAUGUGUACCUACCGAAAGACUCCCAAACUCUGGCUUUUUACAGUGAUGUCUGAGCCAAAUUUUGAAAUGAAAUAAAACUUUCAACGAUGGAUCUCUUGGUUCCAGGAUCGAUGAAGAACGCAGC
rnacentral:misc_RNA from 1 species